rnacentral:rRNA from 1 species
UCCUUUAACGAGGAACAACUGGAGGGCAAGUCUGGUGCCAGCAGCCGCGGUAACUCCAGCUCCAGAAGCGUAUAUUAAAGUUGUUGCAGUUAAAAAGCUCGUAGUUGGAUCUGGGUCGCAUGGCUACGUGCCGUAGCUUGUAUUCCCGGCUCGGCUACGGUUGGGUCGGGUUUGUGAGUCGGUUUCGUGGCUGUGUAGCCUUUCUGCCGUGUCUGUUUCGACAGGUGCUGAUGGUUCUGCUGUUGGCAUGCUUCCAGAUGCCUUUAACCGGGUGUCGGGGGCGGACGGCACGUUUACUUUGAACAAAUUUGAGUGCUCAAAGCAGGCNUAUGCCUGAAAAUUCUUGCAUGGAAUAAUGGAAUAGGACUUCGGUUCUAUUUUGUUGGUUUUCGGAUCCGAAGUAAUGGUUAAGAGGGACAGACGGGGGCAUUUGUAUGGCGGUGUUAGAGGUGAA